rnacentral:lncRNA from 1 species
CCUGAAUGACUGUGCAAUCUUUAAUUGUCUGAGUGCAUUAAGCUUUGUGAGCUAUCCAAGCACAGCAUUUUUUUAAAAAUCCUAUUUGUUUGCUUGUUUCUUUCUCUUUUUUUUUGUGGUCUUUCAAGUAAGGGUCUCACUAUGUAGUCCCUGGCUGGCCUGGAGCUCACUAUGUAGCCCCAGCUACCCUGGAGCUGACUAUAUAGACCAGGCUGGCCUCAAACUCCUAGAUAACUGCCUGCACCAGAAGAGGGCAUCGGAGCCCAUUACAGAUAGUUGUGAGCCACCAUGUGGUUGCUG